AUAAAAUGUAAUUAGAUGACCAAAUUAUUAAUAGUUUAAAUCUUUAAAGUUAAAAAAUUUGGCGGUAUUUUAGUCUUUUCAGAGGAACCUGUUCUGUAAAUGAUAAUCCACGAUUAAUUGAACUUUAGUUAGAAAUUUGUAUAUCGUUGUGGUUGAAUAUUUUAAUAGAAUAAUAAUAUUUUAAAAAAUUUUAAAUAAAGAAGUCAAAUCAAGGUGCAGUUUAUAUUAAAGAAGAAAUGGGUUACAUUAAAAUUAUUAUUUUGAAUUUUUUAAUUAAAAUUAUUUAUGAAAUUGGAUUUGAAAGUAAUUAAAUUUAAUUAAAUUUAAUGAUUAAAGCACUAAAUUAUGU
rnacentral:rRNA from 1 species